rnacentral:rRNA from 1 species
AUACAUGCAAGUCGAACGCCUCUUUUUCCACCGGAGCUUGCUCCACCGGAAAAAGAGGAGUGGCGAACGGGUGAGUAACACGUGGGUAACCUGCCCAUCAGAAGGGGAUAACACUUGGAAACAGGUGCUAAUACCGUAUAACAAUCGAAACCGCAUGGUUUUGAUUUGAAAGGCGCUUUCGGGUGUCGCUGAUGGAUGGACCCGCGGUGCAUUAGCUAGUUGGUGAGGUAACGGCUCACCAAGGCCACGAUGCAUAGCCGACCUGAGAGGGUGAUCGGCCACAUUGGGACUGAGACACGGCCCAAACUCCUACGGGAGGCAGCAGUAGGGAAUCUUCGGCAAUGGACGAAAGUCUGACCGAGCAACGCCGCGUGAGUGAAGAAGGUUUUCGGAUCGUAAAACUCUGUUGUUAGAGAAGAACAAGGAUGAGAGUAACUGUUCAUCCCUUGACGGUAUCUAACCAGAAAGCCACGGCUAACUACGUGCCAGCAGCCGCGGUAAUACGUAGGUGGCAAGCGUUGUCCGGAUUUAUUGGGCGUAAAGCGAGCGCAGGCGGUUUCUUAAGUCUGAUGUGAAAGCCCCCGGCUCAACCGGGGAGGGUCAUUGGAAACUGGGAGACUUGAGUGCAGAAGAGGAGAGUGGAAUUCCAUGUGUAGCGGUGAAAUGCGUAGAUAUAUGGAGGAACACCAGUGGCGAAGGCGGCUCUCUGGUCUGUAACUGACGCUGAGGCUCGAAAGCGU